AUUGAACGCUGGCGGCAUGCUUUACACAUGCAAGUCGAACGGUAACAGGCCGCAAGGUGCUGACGAGUGGCGAACGGGUGCGUAAUGCAUCGGAACGUGCCCAGUCGUGGGGGAUAACUACUCGCAAGAGUAGCUAAUACCUCAUACGAUCUAUGGAUGAAAGCGGGGGACCGUAAGGCCUCGCGCGAUUGUAGCGGCCGAUGUCAGAUUAGGUAGUUGGUGGGGUAAAGGCUCACCAAGCCAACGAUCUGUAGCUGGUCUGAGAGGACAACCAGCCACACUGGGACUGAGACACGGCCCAGACUCCUACGGGAGGCAGCAGUGGGGAAUUUUGGACAAUGGGCGCAAGCCUGAUCCAGCAAUGCCGCGUGCAGGAAGAAGGCCUUCGGGUUGUAAACUGCUUUUGUACGGAACGAAACGGCUCUGGUUAAUACCCGGGGCUAAUGACGGUACCGUAAGAAUAAGCACCGGCUAACUACGUG
rnacentral:rRNA from 1 species